rnacentral:rRNA from 1 species
UGAACGCUAGCUACAGGCUUAACACAUGCAAGUCGAGGGUCAGCAUGGUCUUAGCUUGCUAAGGCCGAUGGCGACCGGCGCACGGGUGAGUAACACGUAUCCAACCUGCCGUCUACUCUUGGACAGCCUUCUGAAAGGAAGAUUAAUACAAGAUGGCAUCAUGAGUCCGCAUGUUCACAUGAUUAAAGGUAUUCCGGUAGACGAUGGGGAUGCGUUCCAUUAGAUAGUAGGCGGGGUAACGGCCCACCUAGUCUUCGAUGGAUAGGGGUUCUGAGAGGAAGGUCCCCCACAUUGGAACUGAGACACGGUCCAAACUCCUACGGGAGGCAGCAGUGAGGAAUAUUGGUCAAUGGGCGAGAGCCUGAACCAGCCAAGUAGCGUGAAGGAUGACUGCCCUAUGGGUUGUAAACUUCUUUUAUAAAGGAAUAAAGUCGGGUAUGGAUACCCGUUUGCAUGUACUUUAUGAAUAAGGAUCGGCUAACUCCGUGCCAGCAGCCGCGGUAAUACGGAGGAUCCGAGCGUUAUCCGGAUUUAUUGGGUUUAAAGGGAGCGUAGAUGGAUGUUUAAGUCAGUUGUGAAAGUUUGCGGCUCACCCGUAAAAUUGCAGAUUAUACUGUAUAUCUUGAGUCCAGUUGAGGCAGGCGGAAUUCGUGGUGUAGCGGUGAAAUGCUUAGAUAUCACGAAGAACUCCGAUUGCGAAGGCAGCCUGCUAAGCUGCAACUGACAUUGAGGCUCGAAAGUGUGGGUAUCAAACAGGAUUAGAUACCCUGGUAGUCCACACGGUAAACGAUGAAUACUCGCUGUUUGCGAUAUACGGCAAGCGGCCAAGCGAAAGCGUUAAGUAUUCCACCUGGGGAGUACGCCGGCAACGGUGAAACUCAAAGGAAUUGACGGGGGCCCGCACAAGCGGAGGAACAUGUGGUUUAAUUCGAUGAUACGCGAGGAACCUUACCCGGGCUUAAAUUGCAGAUGAAUUACGGUGAAAGCCGUAAGCCGCAAGGCAUCUGUGAAGGUGCUGCAUGGUUGUCGUCAGCUCGUGCCGUGAGGUGUCGGCUUAAGUGCCAUAACGAGCGCAACCCUUGUUGUCAGUUACUAACAGGUUCCGCUGAGGACUCUGACAAGACUGCCAUCGUAAGAUGUGAGGAAGGUGGGGAUGACGUCAAAUCAGCACGGCCCUUACGUCCGGGGCUACACACGUGUUACAAUGGGGGGUACAGAGGGCCGCUACCACGCGAGUGGAUGCCAAUCCCCAAAACCUCUCUCAGUUCGGACUGGAGUCUGCAACCCGACUCCACGAAGCUGGAUUCGCUAGUAAUCGCGCAUCAGCCACGGCGCGGUGAAUACGUUCCCGGGCCUUGCACACACCGCCCG